GACGAACGCUGGCGGCGUGCCUAACACAUGCAAGUCGAGCGGAGAUAAGCGGAUGGUAACUGAAGCUUAUCUUAGCGGCGGACGGGUGAGUAACACGUGGGCAACCUGCCUUGAAGUGGGGGAUAACACCGGGAAAUCGGUGCUAAUACCGCAUAACAUACACAAACUGCAUGGUAAGUGUAUCAAAGGAGCAAUCCGCUUUAAGAUGGGCCCGCGGCUGAUUAGCUAGUUGGUAAGGUAACGGCUUACCAAGGCGACGAUCAGUAGCCGACCUGAGAGGGUGACCGGCCACACUGGAACUGAGACACGGUCCAGACUCCUACGGGAGGCAGCAGUGGGGAAUAUUGCGCAAUGGGGGGGAACCCUGACGCAGCAACGCCGCGUGGAGGAAGAAGGGUCUUCGGAUUGUAAACUCCUGUCUUCUGGGACGAAUAAUGACGGUACCAGAGGAGGAAGCCACGGCUAACUACGUGCCAGCAGCCGCGGUAAGCUCGUCUCUA
rnacentral:rRNA from 1 species